UACGUAGGGGGCAAGCGUUGUCCGGAAUCAUUGGGCGUAAAGCGCGUGUAGGCGGUUCGGUAAGUCUGCUGUGAAAGUCCAGGGCUCAACCCUGGGAUGCCGGUGGAUACUGUCGGACUAGAGUACGGAAGAGGGAAGCGGAAUUUCCGGUGUAGCGGUGAAAUGCGUAGAUAUCGGAAGGAACAUCAGUGGCGAAAGCGGCUUCCUGGUCCAGCACCGACGUCAGGCACGAAAGCGUGGGGAGCAAACAGGG
rnacentral:rRNA from 1 species